UACGUAGGGGGCAAGCGUUAUCCGGAUUUACUGGGUGUAAAGGGAGCGUAGACGGCGAAGCAAGUCUGGAGUGAAAGCCCGGGGCCCAACCCCGGGACUGCUCUGGAAACUGCGGCGCUGGAGUGCAGGAGGGGUAAGCGGAAUUCCUGGUGUAGCGGUGAAAUGCGUAGAUAUCAGGAGGAACACCGGUGGCGAAGGCGGCUUACUGGACUGCAACUGACGUUGAGGCUCGAAGGCGUGGGGAGCAA
rnacentral:rRNA from 1 species